AAAAACAUGUCUUUUAGAGAGAGAAUUUAAAGUCGGGCCUGCCCACUGAAUGUUAUUGAAGGGCCGCGGUAUUUUGACCGUGCAAAGGUAGCAUAAUCAUUAGUCUUUUAAUUGAAGGCUGGAAUGAAUGGUUUGACGAAGUAUCGACUGUCUCAGUGUAAGAUGUAGAAUUUAACUUUUGAGUCAAAAGGCUUAAAUGUUGGUAAAGGACGAGAAGACCCUAUAGAGUUUUAUAUGUGUAGUGGACAAUUUUAUUUGGUGGUUGGGAUUUAUGUUUAUAACACAUAUUAUGUUGGGGUGACAUAAAGAUAAAAGAAACUCUUUAUAAAUUGGUACAUAGAUUUAUGAGUAAAUGAUCCAUUAUUAGUGAUUAUAAGAUAAAAUUACCUUAGGGAUAACAGCGUAAUUUCCCUUGAGAGUUCGUAUUGAAGGGGAAGUUUGCGACCUCGAUGUUGGAUUAAGAAAAUGGUUGGGUGUAGCAGCUAAACUAAUAAGUCUGUUCGACUUUUAAAAUCUUACGU
rnacentral:rRNA from 1 species